GAUGAACGCUGGCGGCGUGCCUAAUACGUGCAAGUCGAGCGAAUGGAUUAAGAGCUUGCUCUUAUGAAGUUAGCGGCGGACGGGUGAGUAACACGUGGGUAACCCGCCCAUAAGACUGGGAUAACUCCGGGAAACCGGGGCUAAUACCGGAUAACAUUUUGAACCGCAUGGUUCGAAAUUGAAAGGCGGCUUCGGCUGUCACUUAUGGAUGGACCCGCGUCGCAUUAGCUAGUUGGUGAGGUAACGGCUCACCAAGGCAACGAUGCGUAGCCGACCUGGGAGGGUGAUCGGCCACACUGGGACUGAGACACGGCCCAGACUCCUGCGGGCGGCAGCAGUAGGGAAUCGUCCGCAAUGGACGAAAGUCUGACGGAGCAACGCCGCGUGAGUGAUGAAGGCUUUCGGGUCGUAAAACUCUGUUGUUAGGGAAGAACAAGUGCUAGUUGAAUAAGCUGGCACCUUGACGGUACCUAACCAGAAAGCCACGGCUAACUACGUGCCAGCCGCCGCCGUAA
rnacentral:rRNA from 1 species